rnacentral:lncRNA from 1 species
UGCUCCCAUCAUAUUGAGAGAGGAUCAACAAAGGGGCAAUCAAGUCUUUCAAGAGUUUUGAAGUAAAAGUAACUUCUUCAAAGUGAAGAUUUCUCAUAGGUGGUCAGUGUUCAGGAUACCUCGCGGUGUCCACCUUUUCACCAGUUUGAAACAAGAUCAGAAGGAGAAGGGAUUCUGUGGUGGCUUUCAACAGGAAGGGAUUGCAAGAGCAGAAAGAUGUAUUCACCUCUACUUCUCUGACAAGGAUCCUGGUGUGGUGAAUAGGAACAAAAACCAUGUGACGAUCAAGGUCUUCAAGAAAACAUACUGUAUGCUCCAGGACUAGCACCUGCAACAUGGACAAUACCCUGACGGCAUGCUUGUACACAAAGGACUGCACUGACCAGGAGAGAACGCAGGAACAACACUUCACAUUUUAAGCUUUUUGUGUCAAUUGCUGGGUCUCCAUGAAAACAACUAUGGAAAUUUCUAAAGCUUCAAACAUUUAAUGAAAUAUUUCUGCAAAUAAAUGAUUUUCCCAAAGUCA